rnacentral:rRNA from 1 species
UACGUAGGGCGCAAGCGUUGUCCGGAAUUAUUGGGCGUAAAGAGCUCGUAGGCGGCUUGUCACGUCGAUUGUGAAAGCCCGAGGCUUAACCUCGGGUCUGCAGUCGAUACGGGCUAGCUAGAGUGUGGCAGGGGAGACUGGAAUUCCUGGUGUAGCGGUGAAAUGCGCAGAUAUCAGGAGGAACACCGGUGGCGAAGGCGGGUCUCUGGGCCGAUACUGACGCUGAGGAGCGAAAGCGUGGGGAGCGAACAGG